GACGAACGCUGGCGGCGUGCUUAACACAUGCAAGUCGAACGGAGUGGCGAACGGGUGAGUAACACGUGGGUGAUCUGCCUUGCACUUCGGGAUAAGCUUGUGAAACUGGGUCUAAUACCGGAUUGUGCAAGAUGGGCUCGCGGCCUAUCAGCUUGUUUGUGGGGUAAUGGCCUACCAAGGCGUCGACGGGUAGCCGGCCUCUGAGGGUGUACGGGCACAUGGGGACUGAGAGACGGCCCAGAGUCCUACGGGAGGCAGUGGUGGGGAGUAUUGCACAAUGGGCGGAAGCCUGAUGCAGCGACGCCGCGUGGGGAAUGAAGGCCUUCGGGUUGUAAACUCCUUUCGACAGGGACGCGGUACCUGUAGAAGAAGCACCGGCUAACUACGUGCCAGCAGCCGCGGUAAUAC
rnacentral:rRNA from 1 species